AUUUGAUAUUGUGGGCAUCUAGUGCACAACUUAUUGAACCUUUCUUAGUAAUCAUAUAGGGAUUCUCCAGGAUACUGCUUAAUACUGCAAAUCUCCUUUCUCAGACU